rnacentral:rRNA from 1 species
UACGUAGGGUGCGAGCGUUGUCCGGAAUUAUUGGGCGUAAAGAGCUCGUAGGCGGUGUGUCGCGUCGGUCGUGAAAACUUGGGGCUAAACCCUGAGCUUGCGGUCGAUACGGGCAUCACUGGAGUUCGGCAGGGGAGACUGGAAUUCCUGGUGUAGCGGUGAAAUGCGCAGAUAUCAGGAGGAACACCGGUGGCGAAGGCGGGUCUCUGGGCCGAUACUGACGCUGAGGAGCGAAAGCGUGGGGAGCGAACAGG